rnacentral:rRNA from 1 species
GAUGAACGCUGGCGGCGUGCCUAACACAUGCAAGUCGAACGGAGCUGCUUUGAUGAAGUUUUCGGAUGGAUUUAAAACAGCUUAGUGGCGGACGGGUGAGUAACGCGUGGGUAACCUGCCUCACACUGGGGGAUAACAGUUAGAAAUAGCUGCUAAUACCGCAUAAGCGCACGGUUCCGCAUGGAACAGUGUGAAAAACUCCGGUGGUGUGAGAUGGACCCGCGUCUGAUUAGCCAGUUGGCGGGGUAACGGCCCACCAAAGCGACGAUCAGUAGCCGGCCUGAGAGGGUGAACGGCCACAUUGGGACUGAGACACGGCCCAAACUCCUACGGGAGGCAGCAGUGGGGAAUAUUGCACAAUGGGGGAAACCCUGAUGCAGCGACGCCGCGUGAGUGAAGAAGUAUUUCGGUAUGUAAAGCU